rnacentral:lncRNA from 1 species
AAAAGAAUGAAGAUGUUUUGACUAUCUGAGUGAGCAUUUGACCAAGUUUUUUUUGCCUUAAAUUUUCAAGCAUGUAUAUCGUUACUUCUAAUUUACUGUGUUUACUUUCUGGCUUUUAUCAUUAAAUUUCUGAACAUGUAUAUCGUCACUUAAAAUUUUGAAAUAUGUGUACUGUUUAUAUGUGUGUGUGUGUGUGUGCGCGCGCGCGUAUACAUAUAUAUAAAUAUAUGAUUAUGAAAGUAACUAAUUAGAUUCUAAGGUCCCCAUGUAUGAAAACGAAAACAGGUUCAUUCAUGUGAACACCGUUUUCUCCUUUUACAAAAGAAUCCACAGCUGGGCCCGCCAAGAACAUUAAUAUUGAAGCCCCCAAACAUGCCCAAACACUAAUUUUUAAGGGUGAGAAUAGCUAUUCCUAGUUCCCACCCCUACGUGGAACAACGCUAUAUCCACCUUUUUCCUCUCUCUCCCCCCUUUUAUAAUAAAUUUUAAAAUUNNN